GGGAGGUAGUGACAAUAAAUAACAAUACGGGGUCCUUUGGGUUUCGUAAUUGGAAUGAGUACAAUUUAAAUCUCUUAACGGGGAACAAUUGGAGGGCAAGUCUGGUGCCAGCAGCCGCGGUAAUUCCAGCUCCAAUAGCGUAUAUUAAAGUUGUUGCAGUUAAAAAGCUCGUAGUUGAAUUUCGGGAUCAAUACGUCGGUCGUGCCUUCGGUACGCACUGGGGUCGUUGAUUCCUCCCUUCUGAUGAACCAUGAUGUCAUUAAUUUGGUGUCGUGGGGAGUCAGGACUGUUACUUUGAAAAAUUAGAGUGUUUAAAGCAGGCUAACGCUUGAAUACAUUAGCAUGGAAUAAUGAAAUAGGACGUUUGAUCCUAUUUUGUUGGUUUCUAGGAUUGACGUAAUGAUUAAUAGGGAUAGUUGGG
rnacentral:rRNA from 1 species